rnacentral:lncRNA from 10 species
GAAAGAAAGAAUGAAUAUGUCUUAACCAUGUUCAUAUAUGAAUGUCUCUGGUUCAUGAUUUGAAACAUAUAUCAUGAGCUAGAGAGAUGUGUAGAUGAGGUGACAGGUGCUGCACACACACAGAGACACACGUACACACACACAACUCUACUGUCCAAUUUUACAUUGUCCUAGCCCACUUUCUAAGGGAUGAGAAGGCUGUUUUGGGGCCCCAAGAGAAAAGAAAAUAUUUUGUUCUGUGACAGAAAACCCUGAAUAGAGUGUUAAUCAUUUGCUUUACAUUUAUCUCAUGAAUCAGGGUUUUAUUUGGAUUAAUAUGCACAUUUUAGAAAUGUGACUUCCCCUAAGAGAAUUGAGUAGAUCAGUCAUUGCCCAUUAAUGUGAAUUACUUUAAUCAGUACAAUGAGUAGCCCAGAACAGACUCCCAAUUAAUAACGUUUGAGCUUAAGAAGAGGGACUAGGAGACAGAAGGAGCAAAGCAGUGUUCAUAAUGUUUCAGGGACCGCCUUCCACAAACUGGACCUGUAUCUGAGGCCUGGCCCUGUAAUCUGAACACUCGCUGGAUAUAAAAUAGUGUGCAAGACCCUCUGUGUUCACAAGUCCCACCCCCAGGAAGUUCAGAGACUUUUCUCACAGCAUGCUGUGGGAAAUACCCCAAUUUUUUCUCCUAAGGAAAGGAAUCUGAGGAACAGGGAGAUGGAGCAGGAAGAAAGGAAACAAACAUUUGAGAAAAUAAGUAAAUAUGAGAAUAAAUGUUGUUUUAAAAAACGAUGAAAAAGUUGCAAGGAAAGUACAAGGGGGCAAAGUCCAGCUUAGAAGAAACAAGCUAUGACAUGAACUAUUUCAGAGAGAAUAAACAGGUCAAUCUUUAAAAGAUUGUGUUAAUAGACUCGCCGCCUAAAAAAACUCACAGAAGAAAAAGAAGAGAUAUCAAGAUACAAAGAAGUUUCACAUGGAAAAAAAUGCUUUAUAUUUUCACCCAACAAAAACUUAGUUGUUUGGGUAAAACUUUGUUCUUUGAAGUCCCAUAAAUAUCCCUUCAGAAAAAAAAAUUAAAUUUAAAGUACUUAGACUAAUUAAUGGUAUCUUUAUUCAAAGCAGAUAACAAAUCUAAUUAGAGGAAGUUGUGAACGAAUUUUAUUAUUAGUCUUAUAAUGAAAUAUACUUUAUUCAGCACCUUGACCUCCAUUCAAUAUCUUUAGCUUCUCAAUUCCUUCUCUCUCCAGUGACUCAUUUGACCUUGUCCUCACUGAUGACUAAUUGCAUCUCCGAAAUCUCCUUUUCCCCCUUCACAACCUUCUAUCCUUCUGUUUGGCUUCUUUGGAGCCCACCCUGUUUUUCGGUCUUUUCAAGAACUGUCAAGUCUGUGUUCAUCCAUCUCAUGUGUUUACUUCUUUCUUUAUCCAGUUUUGAUUCCUGAUCCAUCAUUCUGAUCUCCUUCUUGCAAACACCCCUUCAUUCCCCCUGUUUCUCUCAUCUUAUAUCCUACAGUGCUUGUCUGGUGAAACCCAGGCUCAGUUAAACCCAACCAUGCAACUGGACUGGAUUGCAGAAAAACACACAGCGCUGGGUGCUGUGUAAGGUUGGCUUGUUGGCAGUGAAAGUGGCAGUAGGAAGAUGAGUCAUCCAGUAAAAUGGUGAGGCUGGCUGGGCUCAGGCUGGUAAUGGGGAAGACAGAAAGAAGUUAAACUCAGGAUGUGUUUUUUUGGAGGUCGAGGGUAUAAACUUGUCAACGAAGUGGAUGACGGGAAGUGAGAGAAGAACUAAGCUAAGAAUGAUACCUAAGGUUUUUGUCAGAGCACCUGGAAUGAUGCUGAAGCUAUUUCUCUGUUUCUUGAAAUGCAGAAAACUGAAGCAGGAGCAGGCUUGGGAGAGGGACAUGGGUGGCCAAAGUAACCAAGAGUUAUGAUCAACUAUGUUAAGUAGGCAACUGGAUAUAUGAAUUUGGAGCUCCAGGGAAAGGUCAUGGCUAAAGACAUAAAUUCAGAAGUUAUUUCUAUCAAUGUGGUAUAUAAAAUCACAUAAUUGAAUAAAAUUACCUAGAGAAGCAUGUAGAUGGAAGGAAUAAAAGAUGGCACAGGACAAAGCCUUCAGGAAGUCCAACAUGCAGAGGUCAAACAGAAUAAGUUCACCCAGCAAAAGAGAUUGAGUGAGUAGGCAGAGGGCCCAGAGGAAAACCAGGAGAGUGUGGUGUCACUGAAGCCAAAAGAACAAAAGUAUUCCAUGAAGGAGAGAACGAUCCUCUGUAACAAAUGCUCCUAAGAUGUUGUGGCAGAGACUCCUGCUUGUCCUCUGUACCCAUUUUCUCCAUUUUUCUUUUAGUAAUAGAAACCACUGAGCUGUAGCUGGACACAAAGCCACUUACAUGGAGACUACAUUUCCCAGUCUCUUUUGCAGCUAGGUGUGGCCAUGAGGCUGAGCUCAAGUCAGUGGGGUGUGAGAAAAAGGAACUUAUGCAAUCUGCUAUACUUGGCCUUACAAUAUUGGGUGUGCACGCCACCUUUCUCUUUUCCUGGUUUUCCAUAGGCUGGAAUGUGGACAUGGAAGGGGCUCAGCUUCAAUCAUGUGCAUGAGGACAGUACUCCAAGGAAUAUCAGAGAAAUUGGUGAAAGGAACCUGGGAACCUGAAUGCUCUUAAGCAGAGCCAUCCAUCUGCUGUGGAUUGCCUACUGCCAUUUGGACUCCCUUGUGAAAGAAAUAAAUUAAAUUCUCUCUACAAUCACUGUAUUUUGGGGUCUCUAUUUUAGCAUCAUAGCCCACACCAUAAAUAAUUCACCUAUCAAGAAAGAUGACAGACACUUUAGGAGGCCAAGGUGAGCAGAUCACCUGAGGUCAGGAGUUGGAGACCAGCCUGGCCAACAUGGCAAAACCCCAUCUCUACUAAAAAU